rnacentral:tRNA from 1 species
GGAGGGUAUAUAGCUCAGUGGUAGAGCACAUGCUUAGCAUGCAUGAGGUCCUGGGUUCAAUCCCCAGUACCUCCA